rnacentral:rRNA from 1 species
CAGUAGCCGCGGUAAAACAGAGGGUGCGAGCGUUAAUCGGAUUUACUGGGCGUAAAGCGUGCGUAGGCGGCUUCUUAAGUCGGAUGUGAAAUCCCUGAGCUUAACUUAGGAAUUGCAUUCGAUACUGGGAAGCUAGAGUAUGGGAGAGGAUGGUAGAAUUCCAGGUGUAGCGGCGAAAUGCGUAGAGAUCUGGAGGAAUACCGAUGGCGAAGGCAGCCAUCUGGCCUAAUACUGACGCUGAGGUACGAAAGCAUGGGGAGCAAACAGGAUUAGAGACCCCCGUAGUCCCUGUCUCUUAUAC